UGCUGUUGUGUAACAGCUGAAAGUCACAAGGCUUCCACACAAACCCGCUCACACCAUAUUAAGUGUUAUGUGAGUUAUGAAACGUUGGGUGUUGAUGCUGCUGCAUCACGACUUAGCAGCGCUAGCUAGCGGAUACUACACAGCAUAAACCACAGCUAGCAUCGAUGCUACAUGAGAGAUAACUUACCGUUUCCUGUCGUCGGGGUCGGGCGCUGUCUGUCAGAAUGGGCUACACAAGGAGAAGAUCCUCCCUACCUGGAGUCCACCCUGUUGCACCACCAUGUAUCGACAAACCAAGACCACCAUAGCUUCUCCUACACACUGGGAAGGGAGGUUAAGGGAAGGAGUACUCAGUUUGUUGUAAUUUGCAGCAUCACCACUAGAUGUCAGUAUAUCCUACACACUGAGACUGUAAAGUGAUAACAAAGGAACCCUCCUCAUUCGGCAGAUGAACGUGAAAACAGCUAACCGUAAAAUAUGUACAGUGACAUUUACAAAAGCACAUUUGAGGAGAGGGACAUUAAGGUAAAAACUGACAAAAAAUGUACAAAUACAUUAUAACAAAUACCCUCAGUUAGUCAGCCUUGUAAAAAAGUGUUGUAGAAGAAACCAUUUAAAACAGGAUUCCACUAUAUGCUCAAACACCUUACAGUGUGAUGUGCCACAAUUCAACAGAACCACAAACUGUAGCCUCCAAAAUUAUCAUGGAUGUGAGUCAUCACCUCUGUGAGAGAGUUUAAAGGAAAAACUUGCUGCAUGACUGAUGUAGUCUGCAUUAGUUUUGCAUUAGCUCAUACACAACAGAAGUUUUAAACAGUUGUACAUAAGCAAAGACAUCAGCAAUGUUCAGCACUUUGCCAUCAGUGGUUGCCAUUAAAUAUGCUUAGAGUGCAAAGACACAGAUUGUUGUGUGUGUGCAGAGGUAUUUACAGAUACACAGAGGUGAUCAUUCUCCUGCAGUUUCAGAGGUGGCCACUAGAGGAAGACAUGUUCCAACAAUGGAGUUUAUAAAAGGCUGAAGGCAACAUCAGCAAAUUCAUGAAAUACCAAUGAAUCAAAGCAUCAUCAGCUGGCCAUCUAUUGUGAAGGAUAACUCAUUUCAAUAUUGUAAGAGGACGUUUUGAGUAAUUGAAGAAACUAUACUUUGUUCAGCACAUUUCUACAUAACACACAGUCUUUUGAAGGAUGUAGUGUUGUCAUCAUGAGAUUUGUUCUUUUUUAAAGCCUGUUGUUUCCUAUGCACCUAAAUCUGCUAUAUUCUUGUCAUUUGCAAAUGAUGUAUCAGGAAACCCUCCCUGUCGUUAUGCAGUGAAUUAUAUUGUAUUGUUUCAGAGGUAUAUAUUUGAUUUUAGACAAUUCAGAUAUACACCGUCACCAGGAUGUUAAAUAAAGACCAACAGGUUUUG